UACGAAGGGGGCUAGCGUUGUUCGGAAUCACUGGGCGUAAAGGGCGCGUAGGCGGCUGUUCAAGUCGGGGGUGAAAUCCCGUGGCUCAACCACGGAAUGGCCUUCGAUACUGGACGGCUGGAGACCGGAAGAGGUGAGUGGAACUGCGAGUGUAGAGGUGAAAUUCGUAGAUAUUCGCAAGAACACCAGUGGCGAAGGCGGCUCACUGGUCCGGUUCUGACGCUGAGGCGCGAAAGCGUGGGGAGCAAACAGG
rnacentral:rRNA from 1 species